AGUUCCUCUCAAUCUCUUAGAAUGAUUUUACUUUACAAAAGCCAUAUUGACUCUUCCCCCACAUAUCAUGUUUAGCUAUGUAUUUGAUAAUUUUGGUCUUUACUAUAGUUGCCACCAAUUUGUCUUGUACUGAAGUU